CCUACGGGUGGCAGCAGUGAGGAAUCUUGGUCAAUGGGCGCGAGCCUGAACCAGCCAAGUAGCGUGAAUGAAGACUGCCCUACGGUUUUUAAACUCCUUUUAUAUAGGAAUAAAUUGGUGCGCGUGUGUGUUUUUGUAUGUACGGUAUGAAUCAGGAUCGGCUAACUCCGUUCCAGCAGCCGCGGUACUACGGAGGGUCCGAGCGUUAUCCGGAUUUAUUUGGUUUAAAGGGAGCGUAGGUGGGUUGUUAAGUUAGUUGUGAAAGGUUACGGCUCAACCGUAAAAUUGCAGUUGAUACUGGGAGUCGUGAGUACAGUAGAGGUGAGCGGAAUUCGAGGUGUAGCGGUGAAAUGCGUAGAUAUAACGAAGAACACCGAUUGCGAAGGCAGCUCACUGGACUGCAACUGACACUGAGGCUCGAAAGUGUGGGUAUCAAACAGGAUUAGAUACCCGAGUAGUC
rnacentral:rRNA from 1 species